GCUUCAGCUGAAGGAGCUAAAUUGAGAUUAGAUAUUAGAAAGAAAAUCUUCCAUUUGAGGGUGGUAAGGCACUAGAACAGCUUGCCCAGAGAAGUUGUG